rnacentral:pre_miRNA from 1 species
ACCUCGGCUCUCGGCGACUCCUGUGACUGCGCGGACUCGCAGAGAGUCGGAGACUU